AUGUGAAAGCGCUUUGAGUGUGCUGUAAAAGCAUAGAAAGGCGCUAUACAAGUAUAAGACCAUUUACCAUACUGGCUUUUUGAAUAAACCUUGGAAUAUUUAAAAAGCCAUUAUAAACAUUAUCGUCUGACUGACUCUGAUUACAGUUAAAAGCAAUAGAUGAUUCAGUGCCCCUGCCGAUGAUGUAAUAAUCAGUUUUGUGAGAGGUUUUUACUGUUGUUCUGUCACAGUUUUGAGUUGGUAAAACAGUUUCUGCUCUUAGUUCACAGAUGACUGCAGAUGGGUCCACCAGUCCCAGCAGAGUCUCCAUCAAGAGUGGGGCAUCCUUAUACAUGCCACCCGACUUUAGUGAUGAGAGGCCCAAACGUUCACAUUUGAGUGGAACUGGAUCUACAGCUUCCAGUAUUCCCUCGAUGAAGAGCGAUCAUUCCAUGUUCCACCCCCCCGACUUAUCACCAGAAAAGUCACAAAGUCAGCUGACCGAGGAGCCAUCCAGCUGUUCAGUGUGU